CACCCUUCCCACAGGUCCUGGGGCCCCAUUUAAGCUCAAGCCCAAGUAGUGUUAGUCUCUAGUUGUGCCCUUAGUGCUCAUCCUGCUGUUUUAUUUCCUGGCUGGGUGUCCCCUGGGCCUGGUUCAUCCUUGCUGUGUUUGAGUUGAAGGGCUCAGUGUGAAGGCUCAGUGCUGUUUUAGUGGAUGAAGUUAAUCACUUGGAGAUUCAAGCCUUCAUGCCUGGUACAUCAAGCUUCAAAGAUGUAUUUACUGCUCAGCCUCAAAUCCUAAAAUCCCAACUGAAGUAUUAGCAGCAGAUCUCAAAGUAAUUUCCUGACUACCUUGGAGGGGACCAAAAUCAGCUGCAGCUGUAUGCAAGGAGGCAGCCUCUCCCUCAGACUUUGCCUUGAUUGGUGAGACAGGAACACCUUUAUUUGGGAAUGCAGGCACAACUUUGCCAAUGCAAGAUUGCUGAGAUGAAAACAUGGUCUCCUGGUGGCUUGGAGAGGAGCCUGGCAAGGUGCAGGUCACAGGGAAGAGAAGGCCAUGGCCGAGGGUCGAUUGCUGCUUCCUGACAGCCAGGAGGGAGGAGAUGAAGAACUGGUGGGUUUUGUUCCAUCUGGGAAGGGGUGGCUGGUGGUUUCCUGCACUGACAGCCUCAUGAGCUGCUCUCAGCUCUGAUUUACCUCCUGGUGUGUGCUGCAGUCUGGCUGGCUGGCUCUUUAAUGGCAGAAAUGAGUUUUAAGAGGUUGGCAAAAGCAGCUGUAAUUGGGCUUGAGGAUUUAAGUGUUGCAGUGAGGAAAAUAAGUGUUCCUUCUCUUGGAAGGGGAUAAUGUUGCAAAUAGCUUGGUUUAGAAAAUGAAGAAAGUUCAGUGAGAUGUCUAGGUGGAAUACUUGUAUGCUGUGCUGCAAAUAACAUUCCUAAUUAAAUAUAACUCUAACUAUUCCUAGUUAAAUAUAACUAGGAAUGUGUACGUGCAUAGAUUACAUACGUGUAACCCUGUUUAUUCACAUAAAGGAGAAAAAGCCUACCAGUUCCUUUCCUCCUACCUCAGAAAAUUCCAUACCCAAUGUUCUUGUUGAAUACCUAACAAUACAAUAUGCUGAGAAAAUACUAUCCCAAAAGUUUAAUUCUCGCAAAAGAUGUGUGCCUGAGAACAGCAGAUUUAAAAAAAAAAUGUUCAGCCACUAGCAGUGCCUAGUUUUAUUAGAAAUGCCUUUUUUAAUGGAGGAAUAAACUGUAUUUGUCAGAUAAUUACACUUUUAGCUUUGGUGGUACUAGAUGGUCUUCAAGGCCCUUUCUGAUUUUUAUGAAUCAAACAGCCAAGAGUAGCUGAGAGCGCAGAAUCCACUGCCUUGCCAGAAACAAGCCAUGGGUCACACUGAACCUCUGCUGCCCAGGCCACUCAGUGCCUGCAAACCAGUGCUUCCUAAAGCUCCUCAGAUUGGUGCCCACCCUCCCAGAGACCAAAUCUGAGCAGGAGCUGUGAGUAGGAAGCUGCUCAGGCUGGUGCCGUAGAAGAACAGUGAUCUGCCCACCAUGUGAGAAUUUUAUAGCUCUUCCAGCUGAAGCCUGUGGAGAUCCAAUAUAUUCCAAAGUAUAAUUGCAGUUCAGGAAGGAAAUGAAGGUUGGCAUGCCAGUGGCAUGUUGGAUGUUGGCCAUUUCCUGCUGGUGAGUGAUGGGAUGUUAGAGCACUGCUGGAUUAUCCUCCUGGGGCUCUGGGCAAUUUCUCUAGUCUUGGAUCCUUGCAGUUUGGUUUGGACUUGCUAGGUGGCCCCAAAUGUUUUUGAUACUCCCACCAUAAUUUGAAUUAUUCCCCUCUGUUAACAAUCUGGUAUUGAACCACUUGUAGCACAAAGUGAAGUGAUCUUGGGCCAAGUACUGGGGCAUGGGCUGAGGUGUAGAUGGGCUUCCCCAGUGCAGGAAGGGGAUGAAAAAUUAAGUAGGGGUGUCUUGGGUGCAGAGACCUCACCCACAGAAGAGACAAGGCCACAAGCUGAUCCUGAGGGCAUGGAACCUGGGGAUGGAGUUCCUCACCUUCUCACUUUGUUAUGAAAAUGAAGGGCCUGGCUAUUUCCACAAAAAGAUUAGAGGGAAACAGUUUUCCACCAGGGAAGGAAACUGGUCCCAAACCAAUGCCUGUGUCUCCACUGCCAGAACUUGGUGUGUUUUUAUAUUUUUCUACAAUGAAGCUGGCAUUUCUUAGCAAUAUUCCAUGGUACAAUUAUAUAUUCAUUGCAGCUUGCAAGAUCCUGGUCAGGUAAUAGCCAUGUCCAUUUUUUAGGUGAGGCAGAAGGAACUUUUCAGGGAUGAAGAGUGGCAGGGGAAGGCUCUGGAAUGGCUGUUGCACAGACUGGGAGCCUGCCUUUGUGAGAGUGCAGUCAUAUGGCAGCAUUUUGCAUCUCCUGAAAAAAUGGAUGCAGUCAUGAAUUUGCAUGUCAAAAGGCCCAUGUUAAGGGUCUUUUGAGCUCCUAUGUCCCAUUUCUGUCUGUGAAAAUCAUCUUUCCUGAGCUGAUCCCGAAAGGAAAUCAGCACCUACAGCUGAAUGGAAAUCAGUGAAGUGCCAAGGAGGGUCGGUGCUGUGUGUGAUCAGGCACUUGGAUUUUUGAAGCAGGACUGUGCUGCUCUGGCAUUGCAGUGAUGAUCUCACGUUAUUGAAUUUGUGGUGACUUUGUCUGAAACGCCAAGCUGAAGUCACAUUGCUGUUUCCCUUCUAUUUUAGGUGUAUUUCUGAACUAGAGCUGUACUUUAAUUUAAAUCCUUCUUCAAUAAUAGCUCCCAUUGUGCCAGCUUUGAGAUGGCAUCAAGGACUAGAAUUUUAUUGACAGACUUGGUACCAAUAUUUAUUGAACACUACUCUUUGAUUGGUGUUUAUAUAAUGCUGCUCAUAAGAUCUUUUCCCUACACUGCUCUGUUCAUUCUUGCUAUUGUAUCAUAUCUAAAACAUCUUUUUUUGGUUUUGUUUUAUCAGUGUUGUAAGGCAUGAAGGAGAACAGAGAAACACUACUUGAUUAGGUUUCUUGGAAAUCUGGACUUGGGUCUCAGCUUAUCUAAGACUUCUUGUAAGAUCAUGGUCUCUUGGGGCAGUGAUAAUCCUUGCUCUGAGCACACUUCCUUUGUGUCACUGAGACUGCAGCAAACACUCCAAACUGCUAAAAAUGUGUGUGUGCAAAAGGAGGCUGCACUCCUGCUUGAAUCCCUGGUGUAGAAAUCCCUUAACACAUUCUUGGGACUGUAAAGCAAAUUUCAAGAGAACUUCUAUUGUUCUGUCUUUUCUGAAAUAAAUAAAAAUAUACUUUCUUUAAUUGGCACCUACAUUCAGAUGAGGUUUAUAAGCAAUCUGCUGGUAGAUGAUCUGAGAUUUCACUGUGGCAACACUGGUGGGGGAAUGUUAAUUCAAAUGAGCACCUGUGCCAAGCAUUCCUUGUGACUGCUGCAAAUCUCAUUGUGUGGAGAAGUCAAGAGGUGUUUUUUAUUACAGCCUGUGACAUUCACUCAGCUUUGUUUUGCUCCAAGUUCUUUAGCUGCUGGCUGCUCUGAAACAUAAGGUUUCCUUACAAUAUUUGCUCUUCCUUAUUUGAAAUUAUGUCUUGACCUUUUAUGUGUUUACAAGACUACUGGGAAAAUGAAUGUUGAAACUUAAAUUCAUCACGAGCUGUUUCAUCAAAACUGUUGCAUAAUCUCAGAAAAAAGAUAAUUGCAAGAUAAUUUAUUUGCUUUCAGAGUGCCUUUUUGAACUUGCACCAAAGUAUGGCUGGGGCUUUCAGUUUAACCUAUUAGUCCUUUUCUCCCUUUUCCUGGAACAAGAGGACUUUUGGGUAUUGUGGGGCUGAAUAUCUGAUACAAAAUGUGA